GGGGGCGUACCGGUUUCGACGGGGACGCUGAACCACGGGAAGCGGGUAGCGGUGAGCGCCGCUUAAAAAGCUCAAUUUUAAAAUUAAACGCUAACAAUAAUUUAGCUUACGCUGCCUAAGUGCGGCCGUCCUUUAAGAGAGUACCGCGGCUUUUAAAAGGGCGUCGACAGCGGUGAACGUGAGCACGGCAAUGCUUUUGAACCGUGCCAUGCAUUAAUAAAGCUACCUUUCCCAAAGCUUGCCUGUGAGCUUCGGACAAAGGGAAUUAAAAUCACAGGCUGCACCCGGAGAUGCCUGUGCGGAUGAGUUUUCGGACACGAGUUCGACUCUCGUCGCCUCCACCA
rnacentral:tmRNA from 1 species